UUGGAGGGCAAGUCUGGUGCCAGCAGCCGCGGUAAUUCCAGCUCCAAUAGCGUAUAUUAAAGUUGUUGCAGUUAAAAAGCUCGUAGUUGAAUUUCGGGAUUUAUCCGUCGGUCGGGCUUUUGGGUCUGUACUGGCGUGAUGGAUUCCUACCUUCUGAAUAACCGGCAUGUCAUUAAUUUGGUGCGCUGGGGAAGCAGGACUGUUACCUUGAAAAAAUUAGAGUGCUUAAAGCAGGCUAUUGCCUGAACACAUUAGCAUGGAAUAAUGAAAUAGGACGGCAUGGUUCUAUUUUGUUGGUUUCUAGGAUCACCGUAAUGAUUAAUAGGGAUAGUUGGGGGCAUUAGUAUUCAAUUGUCAGAGGUGAAAUUCUUGGAUUUAUUGAAGACUAACUUCUGCGAAAGCAUUUGCCAAGGAUGUUUUCAUUAAUCAAGAACGAAAGUUAGGGGAUCGAAGACGAUCAGAUACCGUCGUAGUCUUAACCAUAAACUAUGCCGACUAGGGAUCGGACGAUGUUAAUUUUUUAAUGACUCGUUCGGCGCCUUACGGGAAAC
rnacentral:rRNA from 1 species